CUACGGGGUGCUGCAGUGGGGAAUAUUGGACAAUGGGGGAAACCCUGAUCCAGCAAUGCCGCGUGUGUGAAGAAGGCCUGCGGGUUGUAAAGCACUUUCGGUUGGGAGGACUGCUUCUAGCACUAAUAUUGUUGGAAGUUGACGUUACCUUCAGAAGAAGCACCGGCUAACUCCGUGCCAGCAGCCGCGGUAAUACGGAGGGUGCAAGCGUUAAUCGGAAUUACUGGGCGUAAAGCGCGCGUAGGCGGCUAGAUCAGUCGGAUGUGAAAGCCCCGGGCUUAACCUGGGAACUGCAUCCGAUACUGUCUAGCAUGAGUACAGGAGAGGAGAGUGGAAUUCCACAUGUAGCGGUGAAAUGCGUAGAUAUGUGGAGGAACACCAAUGGCGAAGGCAGCUCUCUGGCCUGAUACUGACGCUGAGGUGCGAAAGCGUGGGAGCAAACAGGAUUAGAUACCCCCGUAGUC
rnacentral:rRNA from 1 species